AAAUCAACAAGAUAUACCAAGCAAUCACAAGAUGAAGAUUACUAUUUUGAUCUUCAUGGUCUCCAUGGCGAUGACUUGUGACGCCUCCUUCUGGCAAGCCGGGUCGGCGCGGUCGGCCCGGGCCGGCGACUGCUCCACUUGUCCUGACUCGUGCUGCGGCGGCGCCUGCUGCGACGGCCCGUCCUGCUGCGGCGGCAAGUGCUGCGGCGGCAUCUGCUGCGGCGGGUCCUGCUGCAUCGAUGGCAUCUGCUGCAGCGGCAAGUGUUGCCAUGGCCAGUGCGUGGCCUCCAUGUGUCAGGUAUAAACUUAUCUGCCGUUACUGUGAAGCCGACAUUCGGAAAACCAAUGGAGGGGCAGAUCCCCGGAAGCCGGUCUGGAGGCCGUGCGGUCCUGGCGCUCGGCGUCUGAUGCCCGACACACGCAGAAGACGCGCCGGUCCAGUGCAAUAGUGCAGUGUUGACGGUCUGCGCGCGCUUAAAUUGUGCUUGUCGAUGACCUUUUCGGUUGGACCUGUUUAAUAAAAAGACGGAGUUGUCCAGGCAAAAG